rnacentral:rRNA from 1 species
AGUGAACGCUGGCGGUAGGCCUAACACAUGCAAGUCGAACGGAAGCACAGUAGGAGCUUGCUCUUACGGGUGGCGAGUGGCGGGCGGGUGAGGAGUACAUCGGAAUCUACUUUUUCGUGGGGGAUAACGUAGGGAAACUGACGCUACUACCGCAUAUGACCUACGGGUGAAAGCAGGGGAUCUUCGCAGCUUUCGCGACUGAAUGAGCCGAUGUCGGAUUAGCUAGUUGGUUGGGUAAAGGCCCACCAAGGCGACGAUGCGUAGCUGGUCUGAGAGGAUGAUCAGCCACACUGGAACUGAGACACGGUCCAGACUCCUACGGGAGGCAGCAGUGGGGAAUAUUGGACAAUGGGCGCAAGCCUGAUCCAGCCAUGCCGCGUGAGUGAAGAAGGCCUUCGGGCUGUAAAGCCCUUUUGUUGGGAAAGAAAAUCAGCAUAUUAAUCCCUGGCUGUUCUGACGGUACCCAAAGAAUAAGCACCGGCUAACUUCGUG